rnacentral:RNase_P_RNA from 1 species
UCGGAUGGUUGGGUCAUCGCGCUGGCUUCGUAAGAAGGUGGUGAGGAAAGUCCGGGCUCCACGAAAACACGACGCUGGAUAACGACCAGCAGAGGUAACUCUAGGGAAAGUGCCGCAGAAAAUAUACCGCCUUCGGGUAAGGGUGAAAUGGUGCGGUAAGAGCGCACCGCGCUAUCGGUGACGAUAGUGGCAGGGCAAACCCCGUCGGGAGCAAAACCAAAUAGGAGUGGAGAUAUCUGUUUUCGGAUUCCACUCGGGUAGGUUGCUAGAGCCUCAUAGUAAUAUGAGGUCGAGAUGGAUGAUGAUCAGUCUUUGACUACAGAACCCGGCUUAUAGACUAUCCGACGCA